rnacentral:rRNA from 1 species
CCUACGGGAGGCAGCAGUGGGGAAUCUUGCGCAAUGGACGAAAGUCUGACGCAGCCACGCCGCGUGAGUGAAGAAGGCCUUCGGGUUGUAAAGCUCUGUCGGAGGGGACAAAAACGUUUAGGGUUAAUAGCCCUAGAUCUUGAUGGUACCCUCAAAGGAAGCACCGGCUAACUUCGUGCCAGCAGCCGCGGUAAUACGAAGGGUGCAAGCGUUGCUCGGAAUUAUUGGGCGUAAAGGGUAGGUAGGUGGUUACGUAUGUCUGAGGUGAAAGCCCCGAGCUUAACUUGGGAAGUGCCUUGGAAACGGCGUAACUAGAGUAUUGGAGAGGUUUGUAGAAUUCCCGGUGUAGCGGUGAAAUGCGUAGAGAUCGGGAGGAAUAUCAGAGGCGAAGGCGACAAACUGGACAAUUACUGACACUAAACUACGAAAGCGUGGGGAGCAAACAGGAUUAGAUACCCUGGUAGUCCACGCUGUAAACGAUGGGUACUAGAGUUCGGGGGAGUUGACCCCUCCGGACUCGGAGCUAACGCGAUAAGUACCCCGCCUGGGAAGUACGGUCGCAAGCUAAAACUCAAAGGAAUUGACGGCNGAGACGNGCGACGACGACGACGAGGAGAGG